rnacentral:tRNA from 1 species
GUCCUUGUAGUAUAAACAUUACUCUGGUCUUGUAAACCAGGAAUGAAGUAUAAAUACUUCCCAGGACA